rnacentral:lncRNA from 1 species
GAGACCCUCAGACAGCUGUAAAAUCUGACAGCCUGAGUGAGGGAAUCCAAAUCUGUUUCUUAUUGAGUAGCCAAGAUGGCUGGGUAACUCCACAGGCAGUUGUAGAUCACUUUUAUGGACGCAAGGGAUGUGUCAUCUCAGUAGCAUCUGCACAAAGUAUCUUCUUGGAUGAUUCCAGGUUGAGGAAGGGCCAGGUGUGGCUGUAUGUUUUUGUGAAACCCCUCACAUGUGAACCAAGUCCACUGCUCAGCACAUUCUGGGCUUUUCCAGCAUCUCUUAGAUGGUGAACUUGGUACCUCUUGAUCUUUGAAAUUCAGGAAUCAACUUAAAAGGUAACUUUCUGGUGCUAAAGCACAUCUCUCUCCUUCUAAUGCUGAAUUCACUUCAUUAUCCAAGCCCUUUGGUCUUUUACAGUAAAUAAUUAUCCACAGCUGUUGCAAGUUGGUUUAUCCUCCAAUAAAGGUCAGGAUGGCUGACUAGACAUCAGAGGAAAAACUUCUAAAAUUUGGUGUUUAGACUAACUUACAUCUAUGUUUAUCUCUUUUGUGUUUGUUGUAACUAAAUAGGCAAGUGCGGUUUGUGGUUAAAGCAUGACCAGGCAACCUGGAUGUCAUGGUUUUCUUUCUAGUUCUUUAAUUUUGAUGCAUGUGGAAUUCUCUCCUCCUUUGCUGCCUCAAUUUCUCCAGCUGUCACACAUAGAUCAGCAUUCAAGGGUUUCUCUCACAGACUUCCUCGGGGGUGUUGGGGAGAGUAAUGGGGAUCUGUUUGUCCAUAUUCUAAGAAACCAAAUACUAGAAACUAGUUCUCUUUAUAAGAUCCAGGGAAGGCCAGUCCACCUCCAUUGCUUGACAGAUCUCACCUAAAGCUGAAAUAGUCACAAACUAAAGUUUGCUGGACCAUAUAAUGAAGCUAGAAGUACUCCCCAGGAAAGUUUACCUUCAGAACCAGGAGGCCAAAGAAAGAAAAAGGCCCCACGUCCCAGGAAAUGGGACACACUGGUGCAUUUCCAUUUGCCAGGAGAACUGGAAGGAGAGGGAAAGCUUCUGCCACGUACAUUUCCAGAUGGGAUUUGUGGGCUUGGCUCAUGGUGGGGCCCACACAAGCUCUCCAGCUGUGUCCUGGGAUCUCUAGGAAGAGGCCUAGCAGCAGGAUGAGGCAGGAGACGUCCUCCCAGGGAUAAAA